GCGCCCGUAGCUCAAUUGGAUAGAGCACUUGACUACGGAUCAAGAGGUUGGGGGUUCGAUUCCCUUCGGGCGCC
rnacentral:tRNA from 1 species